UACGGGGGGAGCAAGCGUUGUUCGGAUUUACUGGGCGUAAAGGGCGCGUAGGCGGCCAGCGCAAGUCAGUUGUGAAAUCUCCGGGCUUAACUCGGAACGGGUCAACUGAUACUGCGCGGCUAGAGUGCGGAAGAGGGAAGCGGAAUUUCCGGUGGUAGCGGUGAAAUGCGUAGAUAUCGGAAGAACACCAGUGGCGAAAGCGGCUUCCUGGUCCAGCACCGACGUCAGGCACGAAAGCGUGGGGAGCAAACAGG
rnacentral:rRNA from 1 species